rnacentral:rRNA from 1 species
UAACACAAAGUGGAGGACCGAACCGGUUGACGUUGAAAAGUCUUCGGAUGACCUGUGGGUAGGGGUGAAAGGCCAAUCAAACUGGGAGAUAGCUCGUACUCUCCGAAAUGCAUUUAGGUGCAGCGUCGUAUAUAAGUUUAUUAGAGGUAGAGCUACUGAUUGGAUGCGGGGGUUUCACCGCCUACCAAUUCCUGACAAACUCCGAAUGCUAAUAAAUGUUCUACGGCAGUGAGGGCAUGGGUGCUAAGGUCCAUGUCCGAGAGGGAAAGAACCCAGACCAACAGCUAAGGUCCCCAAAUUUCUGUUAAGUUGAAGCAACGCGGUUGGACUGCAUUGACAGCUAGGAUGUUGGCUUGGAAGCAGCCAUUCAUUUAAAGAGUGCGUAACAGCUCACUAGUCG